GGAGGGAGGGAGGAUUGCUGGAGCGAGAGAGCUACAGGCGUUCUGAUCGAUGCGUGGGGGAAGAUUCACAUGGAGCUGAGCAGAGGGAACCUGAAACAGAAGCACUGGGAAGAGGUGGCGGAGACGGUGAGAAGGAAGGCGGAGGAUAACGGUAAGACUCCCAAGACGGAUGUACAGUGCAAGAACAGGAUGGAUACGGUCAAGAAGAAGUAUAAGCAAGAGAAGUUAACACGUGGCCGUAGCAGCAGCUGGGUGUUCUUUGAUAAGCUUGACCGUUUGAUUGGUUCAACGGCCAAGAUCUCAUCUCCACCUCCUCCUAGAGGGUUGCUUAAGAUUCCUAUGGGGAAAAGUUGGAAUCUUUACCAUCGGCAAGGUGAGGCUGAAACGCCGCGUUUUGGGGAUAAGGCUAGGGUUAAAGCUGCUUCGAAGAGUUGGUUUGAUUCAGAUUCGGAGUCUGAAGCAACUAUGUCAGAGGACUCUGGAGAUCGUUUACCGCCUCCUCCUCUGUCGAAGAGGAAGCAAGGAGGAGGAAACACGUGGAGGGAGGUGAGUAGUGCCAUCAUGAGAUUUGGUGAAGCUUACGAGCAAAUAGAGAAUGCGAAGCUGCGACAGGUGGCUGAGAUGGAGAAAGAGAGGUUGAGGUUCUUUAAGGAGGUGGAGAUGCAGAGGAUGCAGUUCUUUGUGAAGAUUCAGUUUGAGUUGUCGCAGCUUAAGCAGCAAAGGGAGGAGAAUGGGAAACAAUAGUAAUAACAUGAAUGCGAUUGUCAACAAUAGCAACAACGAUGUUAGGAACUAGUAGAGUUUAGUGAUUUCAGUUCGUAUUUUAGAUUUGAGUUUUGAAAAUUGUUCAAAAGAAGAAACUUUAUUUUUAGGAUUUAUGAGUGUAUUAAUAUUUUACCAUUUUUUUGUUGAAAAGAAAAUUAGAUUUGAGUUUAAUUUGCUUUUCCGACAAGCUGUGACCGAACGGUAUAAUUUGAGGGGGAAUAAAAUUAUAAAACCAUUAAACGGUCUAAUUUUUCCAUAUCGGCACGUUUUAAACCCUCCAUAUUGAUAACCUGGUUGAUAGAAGCCUCCUUCAACCAAACCAAGCUUAUAGCAUUUCUUCACAAUCAUCAUCACAUAGAAGCUACUUGUAAGUCAAAAGAACACAUAUGAAUAUGAUGCAUAUAAGCACAGAUGAUUCAUCUUUUACUUGAUCGUUGAUUGACAAUUAGUUCUUGAGAAGUACCGAGCCUCCCAGGUCUAAUAUGAAAUCCCAGUGUAACCCUUAGUUGCUCUCUGUGCACCGUAUUUGAGGAUUCUGACUCUCAUAGUUGAGCACUUCAGCAAUUUGACGGAAAGCAAACACUCUAGACAGCUUAGAGGGUUCACAUGAUCCAAUGUUGCACGCUACACAAGAAAAGGACUAAUAGUAACUGUUGUCGUUUUGUGUUACCGACAGCCACGUCAGUGCUUUUUCUGUUUCAAUUUACUCGGAGACUUGAAAAAGUAGCUUUGAUCUCUCAAGUUCUGCUUCUACAUCAUCUGGAAUUUGUUUGCUGGAUCAUCCUUCAGACACAUGUGAGUACUUCUAAAGUCAGCUCUCUUUACAUCAUAUAUACUUCUUCUUUUUUGAGUAAGACAUCAUAUAUACUUUAUAUGAACAUUCUUUAAUGAUCGCAACCAAAGUAUAUCUAUUUCUUUUAGUUUCUUGUAAUUUAAAGAUUUAAGAUAGACGAAUCAAACAUGGUCGGAUCUGAUAUUUCGGGAGCUAUAAACAUUUUUAAGAACUUUAAUAAAAAAAUAUCAUAAUUUCGGGAGUCUAUAAUGUAAAAAAUUUGGAGGCCAAAACUAAUGGUUCAUAUGACUCAUCCGGCUUUGGUAAUGGAUCAUUGGUUUAGGCAUAGUUCUUGUCUCGUUAAAGAUCAAAUAAAAUGAUGGCAAUAAGGCCUCUUCAAGAAUGGUAAUUCUGUUUAGUCUUGUUGGAUCAUUUGUGUGAGUGUUCUUUCCUUUGAUAUGAUACUCUAGAUAGAUGGAUCAAAUCGUUAACGUGAAUGAGUUUCAAGAGCUGGCCAAAAGGGCUCUCCCCAAGAUGUACUUUGAUUUCUAUAGCGGAGGAGCAGAGGAUCAACACACUCUCAAGGAAAAUGUGGAAGCUUUCACUAGAAUCAUGUAACACACUCUCAAUAUGACAAUAUAUCUUUUUGGUUUCGUUGGCCCCGUUUUUUACCUGUGUGCUCAUGUGCUUUGAUGUUCAGGUUCCGUCCUCGGGUUCUCGUUGAUGUGAGCAAGAUAGAUAUGUCUACCAGAAUCUUAGGUUACCCAAUCUCAGCUCCAAUCAUGAUUGCUCCAACAGCAAUGCAUAUGUUGGCUCAUCCACAAGGUCUCUCUUUACUUUUUAUUGGUACAUGCAGCUGUUAUAUAUGGAAACUUAUUUUUAUUUGUCUCUUAUGUUAGGAGAAACCGCCACUGCAAAAGCUGCAGCUGCGUGUAACACUAUCAUGGUACUAAAGUGUUUACUGGAAUACAUGUUAUUGCAUUCUGUUUUGGGUCUUAAGGUGAUGAUUAUACUUCUUUUUUUUUGUGGUUGUGUGAGUUUCAGAUAGUAUCAUACAUGGCUUCAUGCACUAUUGAGGAAGUUGCUUCCAGUUGUAACGCUGUUCGGUUUCUUCAAAUAUAUGUAACUGCACAAUCUAGACAUUUUCAUCUGCUUUUGUUUAUUCUUUAGGCCUUGGUUCUUAGUUUGCUCUGAUAUAUCUUUAAUAGGUGUACAAGAGACGCGACGUAACUGCUCAGAUGGUGAAAAGAGCUGAGAAAGCUGGAUUCAAGGCCAUUGUUCUGACUGUUGAUGUUCCUAAAUUUGGCAGAAGGGAAGCAGAUAUAAAGAACAAGUAACAUUCUCCAUUACAACUUUUCUUAUCCUGUAUAUCUAACAAAUAACAUUCCUUCCUUUUCAACUUAGAAGUCGUUUAAAUAUUCAAUUGUCUUUAUUUGACUAUUAAAAAUUCUAUUGCAUUUAAGAUUUUUGAAAAAAAACUUAAUUAUGGGUAAAAAGAAUAAAUUAAUAGAAAAAUUGUAUCGAAAUCAUCAAAUGAUACUUAUUUUGUAAUGACAAGUACUACUUAGAAUGACGACAAAGGUAGUACUAGUUUUUUUUGUUGAAUGAUUCAAUGCUUCUGUUCUGUAGAAUGGUAUGCCCACAGCUGAGGAACUUCGAAGGUUUAAUUUCAACGGAAGUCCUACCUGUGAGUAGAGCUUGAAGUUAAGGUUCAUGUUAAGUAAAACCAUAACAUGUUGUUGACUUGAUAACUUUUUUUCUCAGAGUGAAGGUUCAGGGGUUGAAGCCUUAGCCUCUAGUACAUUUGAUGCUUCCUUAACUUGGAAGGUAAUAAUCUUUGUGAGUUCAUUAUGUUCGUGACCUUGAAUACUCCCAUGACAAUGGUAGAACAUUCCUUAUAAUGUUUGCAUUGGAAAACUUUAGGACAUCGAAUGGUUAAGGUCUAUUACAAAGUUGCCAAUUAUGGUUAAGGGGAUACUCACCCGUGAAGACGGUAAGGUUCUUGUGUCAUACUCUGAUCUAUAUAUAACUAUAUAGCUUGUAUCAUAUUAUGAUAUUUUUGAUGAUAUGUUCAGCUCUUAGGGCUAUUGAAGCUGGUGUAGAUGGAAUAGUUGUAUCAAACCAUGGGGCCCGCCAGCUUGACUAUUCACCAGCUACUAUAACUGUUUUAGAAGAGGUAAAAAACCCAUCAAAGCUUUUGCGUAAGACCAAACUUAUUCUUCUUUAUGAACACAAUGGUCUUCUUUUUGAAACUGCAGAUUGUUCAUGUUGUUGGAGGGAGGGUACCGGUUUUGCUUGAUGGAGGUGUGAGACGAGGAACAGAUGUUUUCAAAGCGUUGGCACUAGGAGCACAAGCUGUUCUUGUAAGCUUUAAAAUGCUGAGGAUUUGGACAUUUGGCACAUAUCUUUCAGGUUGCUCUAUGUUGAUGUAAUGACGCAAUUUGGUUGGAUUAUGCAGAUAGGGAGGCCUGUAGUCUAUGGGCUUGCAGCUAAAGGUGAAGAUGGAGUGAGAAAAGUGAUUGACAUGUUGAAAAAUGAGUUGGAGUUAACUAUGGCUCUUUCUGGUUGUCCCACCAUUGAUGACAUAACCAGAAACAAUGUUAGGACUGAGAGUGAGAGACUUAAAUCUAUGCUCUGAUCCUCAAAGACAUUUGUGGAAAGUGAUUGGUCUUUGUGUUGUUUAUAUGAACGCCUAUGAGAGAAGGAUUUUCAGAAAGAUUGUAUCACGUUGUAUACAGUUUCAUAAGUGAAAUUCUCUGGUCUGAAACGAAAACACAGCUACGGCGCCAUUUCCACGACCAAAGUAGAUUACUAAGAUUAAUACGCAGAAGAUUAAUACGCACGAACUGAAUGCUCUGAUACCAGUUUUAGAGUUUUACAUGGAAGCAUGUAAUAAUGAACACAAAUAUUAGCCUAAUUUAGUGAUCAUUAUGAGUUCGUAUGCACGAAUCGGGCAGAAUCCACAGACGAAAAUCUACCACUUAUUACCAUCAAAACUUGUGUUUCUUCUAUUCCAAAUGUGAUUAGAUAAACAAGUGUGUCAUCAUGGCUGAGAGGGAUAAAUAUAUAUAUACUAAAUUAAAAUCUCCUACACUAUAUAUACAUACAAUCACUAUUCAUUUUGAACUUGAUGCUGAGAAUGGGAGGCAGGUAUCUAACAAUAAUAAAAGGGGAAUAAGAUCAACAUCUAAGCUGUCCACAUAAGCAUAAAAAAUCAACCUAUCACAAAGCUUUAAGUUGCCACAUCAGCUCGACCUGUCCUACUUCUUCGUUGCGAACAAGUCGAUGAUUGAAACUAAUCGUCUCUUCAUCUUUCUUUUCAUUUCAAUGCAUCAUUUAAUUAUAGUCUGUUUGUCUCCCUCUCCACUUCAAAUCCCUAAAUCCCCAAGCAUCACCCUAUCUAUUGUAUUCCCGUCUCUCUCUGUCAACGGCUCCACAUUCUGGAAAUCAAAACCCACCGCAUCCAUGGCUAACAACAAGGCAAAAUCAACUGUUUUUCAGAAAAAAGAAUCUAUACAUACAAAAAGUAAAAAUUUUAAUAGUAUUCUAUGUUGUUUAUGUAUACUUUAUAUUAUUUUCUGUUUGUAGCUUAUGACAAAAGCUAUGAAUCAUGAACUGUGACAAGGUGAAGUAUUUAGUGGACAGAGGCUGCGUUUUGGGAAUCAUAGCAAGGAUUCUCAACAAUGGCGGCCACUCCUUCUCACAGCCUUCUCACGAAGAACUAUCACUGUCGUUCAAAACCACCAGCUCCCUGAACCUUUGUUCAUUCAUCUUCUGGAGAAAAGAUCCCGAGUAGCUACGAAAGCUUCUCUCUCUAGAACCAACGAGGCGUUUUUAUCCGCCGUCAUCUCCAGGCUCGAGCGUGAACAGCAAGGAUUAACCGACGGCAGUGGAGAACAGUGGCAUACGGCGGAGGCUUUCCGCCGGCGCGAUAAGAAAACCGAGGAAGAGAGGAGGCUUAGAGACACGUGGCGUAAGAUCCAAGGAGAAGACGAUUGGGCCGGGUUAACGGACCCGAUGGACCCGGUUCUCAGAUCGGAGAUGAUCCGGCGAAAUGGCUCAGGCCUGUUACGACGCCUUCGACUUCGAUCCUUCCUCGACGGCAACCCACGUCGAGUGUAAUCUUCACUUUGGUCACACAUUGGGUCUGUUGAUUUUUGAAAGUAUUUGACCUUACAUUAGUUCUGUGUUUUGAUUUAGGUUGGCCUCUAAAUGUAUAAUGUCUCCAUUUAGAUCCGACGUGGGUUGCUGGUUCGAUGAGGCUCUGAGAACUCAAGCAGUGCUAUUGGAGGCAGGCUUUCUGAAUAUCUUUGGUCAGUGUCAAGUUUCUUGAUCUCUUAUGGAUGCAGUUUUUAUACUUUUUUGCUAUGUACAGAGAAAUGAGUUCUUAUAAGCAUUGUUCUAUUGGAUCAACACUCACACCUGAUGCAAAAUGAUAUUUUUUGUAAACAUCAAUUUUUUACUGCACGUCCAAGGUAUAAUACAAUCUCGCAAGAUCCAUAUAUGCAUGUUGGUUAACGUCAAGAUUUCUAACUGCAAAUUUGUGGAGAAUGUUUUUUCGAACAUUGGUAGACUAAUAUUUUAUAUGGAGAGGAGAAAGCGAGUGCAAUUGUUGCUUCAUAUUAUUGCCAUUAGUUCAAUGCAGCUAUAUGGAGAGGAGCAGGUGACUGCAAUUGCAAGCAAGAAGCUCACCUGAGAAGGCAGUUAGUUCAUCACAAUGUCAGUAGAAAGUAGAAGCUGACCAGAAGAAAGAAGGUGAUGAUGAAAUCUACCUGCGAUCAAUAGCCCCAUGAGACCAACAUCCUUGAGAGGAACACUCUGCACUCUCUCGCUUCAAAGCUAACAACAAAUCUCUAAGGUAAUUUCUGAACUAAUCUCCUAAUCAUAUAUCUUUCUUUUUGUUUGGUCAAAAUCUCCUAAUCAUAUAUCUAUAUUCUAACUUAAAGAGUGGAAACAAAAAAUAAAGUGGACUAGGGUAGGCGUUUUUAUCCGCCGUCAUCUCCAGGCUCGAGCGUGAACAGCAAGGAUUAACCGACGGCAGUGGAGAACAGUGGCAUACGGCGGAGGCUUUCCGCCGGCGCGAUAAGAAAACCGAGGAAGAGAGGAGGCUUAGAGACACGUGGCGUAAGAUCCAAGGAGAAGACGAUUGGGCCGGGUUAACGGACCCGAUGGACCCGGUUCUCAGAUCGGAGAUGAUCCGGCGAAAUGGCUCAGGCCUGUUACGACGCCUUCGACUUCGAUCCUUCCUCGACGGCAACCCACGUCGAGUGUAAUCUUCACUUUGGUCACACAUUGGGUCUGUUGAUUUUUGAAAGUAUUUGACCUUACAUUAGUUCUGUGUUUUGAUUUAGGUUGGCCUCUAAAGGUAUAAUGUCUCCAUUUAGAUCCGACGUGGGUUGCUGGUUCGAUGAGGCUCUGAGAACUCAAGCAGUGCUAUUGGAGGCAGGCUUUCUGAAUAUCUUUGGUCAGUGUCAAGUUUCUUGAUCUCUUAUGGAUGCAGUUUUUAUACUUUUUUGCUAUGUACAGAGAAAUGAGUUCUUAUAAGCAUUGUUCUAUUGGAUCAACACUCACACCUGAUGCAAAAUGAUAUUUUUUGUAAACAUCAAUUUUUUACUGCACGUCCAAGGUAUAAUACAAUCUCGCAAGAUCCAUAUAUGCAUGUUGGUUAACGUCAAGAUUUCUAACUGCAAAUUUGUGGAGAAUGUUUUUUCGAACAUUGGUAGACUAAUAUUUUAUAUGGAGAGGAGAAAGCGAGUGCAAUUGUUGCUUCAUAUUAUUGCCAUUAGUUCAAUGCAGCUAUAUGGAGAGGAGCAGGUGACUGCAAUUGCAAGCAAGAAGCUCACCUGAGAAGGCAGUUAGUUCAUCACAAUGUCAGUAGAAAGUAGAAGCUGACCAGAAGAAAGAAGGUGAUGAUGAAAUCUACCUGCGAUCAAUAGCCCCAUGAGACCAACAUCCUUGAGAGGAACACUCUGCACUCUCUCGCUUCAAAGCUAACAACAAAUCUCUAAGGUAAUUUCUGAACUAAUCUCCUAAUCAUAUAUCUUUCUUUUUGUUUGGUCAAAAUCUCCUAAUCCGGCCAUUGCACAAGUCGUUUAUCUCCAUCGUUUGGACUUGACAUAGCGCUUCAGAGAAAGGGAAUAGAGUUUUCAUAAAUCAUUAUUGUUUUUUUUUAUGUUGUGUUAGUUCUCAGUUAGGUCAAUUUCUCAAAUGAAAAAUAAGUUUUUGAAAUUAAGAUACAUAUAAAUGUACAUUUUAAACUUUGUCAAAAUAUCAUAACAAAUACAUUUCGCUUUCCGUAAUUGUUAAACGGCAAUGUUGUUCAUGUUUCGUUUGCGGCUUCGUAUUUCCUUUCUUUUUGUAUUGUCUAAAUUUAUUCUUCCAAAAAAUCUUGGUUCGUACACUACUUUUUCUCUGUAUGUAUUUAUUUAGCAAAUUUUUAAUCCAUUCAUAAGUCUACCACCAAAAAGUAGAAAUUAUUUACUCUAUUAUCAUCAAGAUUAUAAUUAAAACAAAACAAAAAACAUACAGACAAUAUACAAAAAUUAAAAUACAGAAAAAAUAUUUAAUCUAUUUUCUAUUUCAAGAAGAUAUGUUACUUAAAUUUGCCGGUCUAAAAAUAUGAUGGAUAUAAAAAACCAAUUCAAUGAUUUAAGAUUUGAAAUCGCUUCUUUAAUUUCUUGAACAUAUACAUAAUUGAUCUAUUUUAAAAAUAAUGAACAUUAUUAUAUAAUAUUAUAUUUUAUAUGUUUUUUUAUUUGGUGUAUGUUUUAAAUUAUUAUCUUUUAUUAAACUUAAUAUUGCACCAUGAAACGAAUAAAUAUAGUCUCAGUUCUGAGACUAUUAUUCAACAAUCAACUCCAAAGAAAACUCCCAAACCUAUAAUAAUACUUUGAAAUGCAUUAUCAAACAAUUGUUAUUCCGAUGCAUUUACUUAUGAUGAAUUUUUGAUAAUUUUAAACUAUGUUGAAAGUCAUAUAUACAAAUAAUAUUAUUAAACUUACAAAAUUUAACAGAAAAUAACCUAAAAUAUCUUAUUUUGUAGUGAUAAGUACUAUUAUUUUUCCGCUUUACAUAAUAAAACAUAUUUUACAAAAAACAAGACUCUGUCUAACAAUAAAGAAAAAUUGAAAUUAAAUUCCCCAUUUUAUAUCAAUAAACCAAGCACAAAACAAUGAAAUUAUUAAGUUGAACUGGUCAAAUAAAAACAAAUCUCCCCAGUUUGAUGCAAUAAUUUACAUAUGAAAAAACAUGAUUAAAUUUAAAAUAUAAAUUACUAUGAAAGUAUGUGAAAAAUAUUACUCGCUUCAAUAUUUGAAAAAAAAAUUUUACUAACACCACUAUUGAUGUUGUUUGCAGCUUCAGAAUAGGUCAAAAAUAAUACAAAUCAAAUCAUUUUGAGGCAUUAUUAAAAUCACAAAAGAGUAUACAAGAUCAUAACUAAAUCAAAAAGCAAUAAAAAAAUCCAAAGUAUCUUAAUAUGCUUUAAUGUUGAAGACAUUUUUUCGGUUUAUUAAUUCUAAAUUAUGUUAAAAUAUAAAAAAAUAAACAUCAAUAAAAUUAUUGAAGAAAAUUUAGAGACUGACCAACCAAAAACACUUACGCAAAUAAUAAUUUAUUAAGUUAAUAUUGGGAAAAUGAGACAUGCAAAAAGAAAAAAAAACAAUACACUAAAUAUAAAAUAAAACAAAAACUAAUUAAAACGUUAUAUAGUUAUACUAAUUUAAAAUACAUAAUCCGCGCGUAGCGCGGAAAAAGAAUCUAGUAUGAUUAAAGAAGAAGAAGAAGAAUCAUGCAUUGAUUUUAAAGAAGUGCUUUAAAUUAGAGUUAAGAAACUCAUAGCGUUUAGUGGGGCUGCAAGUUUACCGGUGACUGAAACCUUUAUCCAAUCACAUCCUUACACGUCAGACUCCCCGUAUCGUUAUUCCACGUGUCCCCCCCCCUUCUCACCGACGCCGUCUCCUUUUCCGUUAACUCCCCCCGAACAAAGAUCAUUAUGCUGCAAACCCUAACCCUAUCUCCUUCUCACGAUGGCCGACGACGAAGACCAGAUCCGAUCUCACUCCGAUUCACCCGAUCCGUCUUCUUCUUCGCCGCCGCCGUCGGGAAAAGUCACGGUUACGGUGGCUUUCCCAGGUCCGCCUCAAAAAACUCCCGACGCGUCGCCUCUUGCGCUGCUUCCGAUCAAAUCCAGCGGCGGCGGAGGGAGGGAGGAUUGCUGGAGCGAGAAGGCUACGGGCGUUCUGAUCGAUGCGUGGGGGGAGAUUCACAUGGAGCUGAGCAGAGGGAACCUGAAACAGAAGCACUGGGAGAAGGUGGCGGAGACGGUGAGAAGGAAGGAGGAGGAUAACGGUAAGACUCCCAAGACGGAUGUACAGUGCAAGAACAGGAUCGAUACGGUUAAGAAGAAG
rnacentral:lncRNA from 1 species